rnacentral:rRNA from 1 species
AGCAGCCGCGGUAAUUCCAGCUCCAAUAGCGUAUAUUAAAGUUGUUGCAGUUAAAAAGCUCGUAGUUGAACUUUAGGCCCGUCCGAGUGGUCCGUCCUCUGGGCGAGCACUGCUUCGUGGCGGGUCUCACCUUCUGGCGAGCGCGGAUGCCAUUCGGUUGGUGUCCGUGGGAACCAGGACCUUUACCUUGAAAAAUUAGAGUGUUUAAAGCGGGCUUCGACGCUUGAAUACAUUAGCAUGGAAUAAUGAAAUAGGACGAGGUUCUAUUUUGUUGGUUUAGGGACCUUCGUAAUGAUUAAUAGGGAUAGUUGGGGGCAUUCGUAUUCAAUUGUCAGAGGUGAAAUUCUUGGAUUUAUUGAAGACGAACUACUGCGAAAGCAUUUGCCAAGGAUGUUUUCAUUAAUCAAGAACGAAAGUCGGGGGAUCGAAGACGAUCAGAUACCGUCGUAGUCUCAACCAUAAACUAUGCCGACUGGGAAUCGGGCGAUGUUAAUUUACGUGACUCGCUCGGCGCCCCGAG